rnacentral:tRNA from 1 species
GGAGGGCUACGGUAAUUGGCAACCGGACGGUCUUGAAAAUCGUUGCCCGAAAGGGCUUGUGGGUUCGAGUCCCACGCCCUCCG